rnacentral:misc_RNA from 1 species
GAUGAAGAACGUAGCGAAAUGCGAUACGUAAUGUGAAUUGCAGAAUUCAGUGAAUCAUCGAAUCUUUGAACGCACAUUGCGCCCGCCAGCACUCUGGCGGGCAUGUCUGUUCGAGCGUCAUUUCAACCAUCAAGCCCCAGGCUUGCGUUGGAGCCCUGCGGCUGCCGCAGCCUCCUAAAAGCAGUGGCGGGCUCGCUAUCACACCGAGUGCAGUAGAUUACUCUUCGCUCAGGGCGUGCAGCGGGUUCCGGCCGUGAAACCCCCUACUUUUAAAGGUUGACCUCGGAUCAGGUAGGAAUACCCGCUGAACUUAAGCAUAUCAAUAAGCGGAGGA